rnacentral:rRNA from 1 species
UGGGGAAUCUUGCGCAAUGGGCGAAAGCCUGACGCAGCAACGCCGCGUGAGCGAAGAAGGCCUUCGGGUUGUAAAGCUCUGUCAGGGGGAAAGAAGGCACCUGGGUUAAUAGCCCAAGGGCUGACGGUACCUCCAAAGGAAGCCACGGCUAACUACGUGCCAGCAGCCGCGGUAAUACGUAGGUGGCGAGCGUUGUCCGGAAUCAUUGGGCGUAAAGAGCGCGUAGGUGGCUGGUCAGGUCCGAUGUGAAAACCUGGAGCUUAACUCCAGGCCUGCAUCGGAAACCGGCUUGCUAGAGUCUGGGAGAGGAGAGUGGAAUUCCUGGUGUAGCGGUGAAAUGCGUAGAUAUCAGGAGGAACACCGGUAGCGAAGGCGGCUCUCUGGAACAGUACUGACGCUGAGGCGCGAAAGCUAGGGGAGCAAACA